GAUGAACGCUGGCGGCGUGCCUAAUACAUGCAAGUCGAGCGAAGGGACGAGAAGCUUGCUUCUCUGAUGUUAGCGGCGGACGGGUGAGUAACACGUGGAUAACCUACCUAUAAGACUGGGAUAACUUCGGGAAACCGGAGCUAAUACCGGAUGAUAUUUUGAACCGCAUGGUUCAAAAGUGAAAGACGGUCUUGCUGUCACUUAUAGAUGGAUCCGCGCUGCAUUAGCUAGUUGGUAAGGUAGCGGCUUACCAAGGCAACGAUGCAUAGCCGACCUGAGAGGGUGAUCGGCCACACUGGAACUGAGACACGGUCCAGACUCCUACGGGAGGCAGCAGUAGGGAAUCUUCCGCAAUGGGCGAAAGCCUGACGGAGCAACGCCGCGUGAGUGAUGAAGGUCUUCGGAUCGUAAAACUCUGUUAUUAGGGAAGAACAUAUGUGUAAGUAACUGUGCACAUCUUGACGGUACCUAAUCAGAAAGCCACGGCUAACUACGUG
rnacentral:rRNA from 1 species